UACGUAGGGGGCCAGCGUUGUUCGGAAUUACUGGGUGUAAAGGGUUCGUAGGCGGUGCGGCAAGUUGGGAGUGAAAUCUCUGGGCUUAACCCAGAGGCUGCUUUCAAAACUGCUGUGCUUGAGUGUGAGAGAGGCUCGUGGAAUUGCAGGUGUAGCGGUGAAAUGCGUAGAUAUCGUAAGGAAGACCAGUGGCGAAGGCGGGUCUCUGGACAGUUCCUGACGCUGAGGCACGAAGGUCAGGGGAGCAAACGGG
rnacentral:rRNA from 1 species